CCUACGGGGUGCAGCAGUGGGGGAUAUUGGACAAUGGGGGAAACCCUGAUCCAGCGACGCCGCGUGAGUGAAGAAGUAUUUCGGUAUGUAAAGCGCUAUCAGCAGGGAAGAAAGAAAUGACGGUACCUGAGUAAGAAGCCCCGGCUAACUACGUGCCAGCAGCCGCGGUAAUACGUAGGGGGCAAGCGUUAUCCGGAUUUACUGGGUGUAAAGGGAGCGUAGACGGCAGCACAAGUCUGGAGUGAAAUCCCGGGGCUUAACCCCGGAACUGCUUUGGAAACUGUGCGGCUGGAGUGCAGGAGGGGUAAGCGGAAUUCCUAGUGUAGCGGUGAAAUGCGUAGAUAUUAGGAGGAACACCGGUGGCGAAGGCGGCUUACUGGACUGUAACUGACGUUGAGGCUCGAAAGCGUGGGGAGCAAACAGGAUUAGAUACCCCAGUAGUC
rnacentral:rRNA from 1 species